AAACUUCUAAUUGCAAUAAAAAAUUAUAAUAGAACAUUCUACCUAUUUAAUCUACAUAGCAAUAAUGUUAAAACAGACUUUAAAUUUCCUUCAAGUAACAUGUAAUACAUGUGUAGGGGAAUUAUAAUUACAGGUACCGGGUACGUUACAUAUUAUUUGAUAGUUUCUAAUUGAUUAGAAUCUGUCUAUCUAAUAAAUUCGAUUAAUUUUGUGCAUGUAAUUGUCAGUUAUAUACUUAAUUUUUAUUAAUUUAGUUUUUAUCUUCUUUUUAAUUAACAGUAUGACAUAUAUGAAGACGAUGAAGUUCAAGGAGAUACUAUAGUAGCCCGUCGCGGUCCGGAAAUGGUUUUACAAAAACUAUUGAGUCUGUUACUUCGUUUACUUAGCCCGGUGCUUAAAUCAAUUUUUAUGUUUCUAAGAAAUUUAUUCUGUUGGUAUACACCCAUCAUAGUACCCAAAGGGCUAUGUGAAUGUACAAAAGAGAAAAAUUAAGAAUGCAUAUUCUUAAAAGGAAAAAUAAAAUAUCAUAAGGGAUAACUUUUAUUAUCGACUUUGUUAAAGACUGUUAUGAAACUUUGCCUAUGAAAGAAUGCACUUACUAUCUUUAUUAUUAUUAUAUAACUGGAAUAUAAUGUCCCUUUCUAAACAGUUAAAUUUUGAAUUUACAUAAAAUUAUUACAUGUUUUUGGAAGUUGUAAUAAAUAAAUAAUAUAUUUAGUA